rnacentral:rRNA from 1 species
GAUGAACGCUAGCGGCAGGCUUAAUACAUGCAAGUCGAGGGGCAGCAGGACUGUAGUAAUACAGUUGCUGGCGACCGGCAAACGGGUGCGGAACACGUACGCAACCUUCCUUUAAGUGAGGGAUAGCCCAGGGAAACUUGGAUUGAUACCUCGUAAUAUUUGAGAGUGGCAUCACUCUCUAAUUAUAGCUCCGGCGCUUAAAGAUGGGUGUGCGACUGAUUAGGUAGUUGGCGGGGUAACGGCCCACCAAGCCUGCGAUCAGUAACUGGUGUGAGAGCACGACCAGUCACACGGGCAGUGAUAAACGGGACCGACUCCUACGGGAGGCAGCAGUAAGGAAUAUUGGUCAAUGGACGCAAGUCUGAACCAGCCAUGCCGCGUGGAGGAUGAAGGUCCUCUGGAUUGUAAACUUCUUUUAUCUGGGAAGAAACCCAUAUUUUCUAGUGUGGUUGACGGUACCAGAUGAAUAAGCACCGGCUAACUCCGUGCCAGCCGCCGCGGUAAAAC